UCCAUGGCGACAUGGAAUCUGAAGGAAGCUCGAGGCAAAUCUCCGGUAUGACAAACAGAAAGCAUAUAAGAAGCAACGUAUAAAGACAAGAUUGUCAAAGAAGUUAAAAUCCGAUAGCUCCAACAAUCAUAAGGUGUAUAUGUGGCAGAUAGAUGGAGGGGAAAGUUCGCACU
rfam:Bacillus pseudofirmus OF4 plasmid pBpOF4-02, complete sequence.